rnacentral:rRNA from 1 species
UACGUAGGGUGCGAGCGUUAAUCGGAAUUACUGGGCGUAAAGCGUGCGCAGGCGGUUUUGUAAGCCAGAUGUGAAAGCCCCGGGCUUAACCUGGGAAUGGCAUUUGGGACUGCAAGGCUUGAGUGCGGCAGAGGAGACUGGAAUUCCUGGUGUAGCAGUGAAAUGCGUAGAUAUCAGGAGGAAUACCGAUGGCGAAGGCAGGUCUCUGGGCUGACACUGACGCUCAUGCGCGAAAGCGUGGGGAGCAAACAGG